rnacentral:lncRNA from 1 species
AAGAACAACACGUACAACUUUAACAGCGAAGACCGACACCGACCGUACAGCUCCGAUCCGACCCCUAUACAACCCUCAACUCAAUUUUUCUUACACUUUCCACCUAAAAUUCUCUUCCCCUUUUGAUUUGUGCACUUCAUGAACCCUCACGAGGAUUCGUAUUAAGGAAGGGUCUCGAACCUUCUGGAAAAGCACUGAAACGUUCAAAAAUUCAUUUUUCUUGGGUGGAUCCGUACGAAUUCAUACAUAUUUCUGUGAAUUUCAUUGGUUCUUGGGGAUUAUUCUUUUUCCCCAAUAUCUAUUGGUUAAACCCAUUCAAUUUUCUUCAAGAAAUCAAAAAAGUCAGUACAAGAAUGAGGUUAUAAUCCCGUCCUCAUCUCAAUUUUAAAAAUAUCUCAGUUAAAAUAUUUCUAAACUACCUCCAAUUUUUCCCAUUCCGCAUUGAUUGAAACUCAAAUUGAACCCCUAAUUUCUUCUAUAUAAAACUCUCUUUGGAGCAAAAUUGCCCAAGUCUCAAAAGGGUUGGAAAGGCUUUUUGAGCAAAGAAUUAAUUUUUUUAGUAAAACUUUUUAGAAAGGCAGUCGAUUAAUCAAAGUUUUUCAAAAGAUUUCUUUCAGUGGUGGUAGAUUUUGAUGAAGCUCGAGUCCCAUUUUGCUGCUCCAGAAAAGGUAAACACACCCUUUCCCUUUUAGUUUAUUGCUUUUCUUCUUCAUCUCUUUCUUCGUAUCAAUCUUUAUGUAGUCGUAAUUGUAGUUGGUGGGAUUGUUGUUGUAGACAACUUUGAAAGCCAUAGGUUGUUGUGAAGAAAUGGUGAAUGACGUCUUUGAGAUGAUAUUUUGUUGUUCUUGACCUCAUGAUUUUCAUUCGAGUUCUUGAGAUUACUAUUUCAGCUUUCUUGAUGAUUUUCUUUUUCUUAGCUUUGGCUUGUGGCCUUAUCAUUUAGUUUGUUCAUGGAUCGAUUCAUUUUUUUUUCUAGCCAUAUACUUGCCUAUUGAUUAAACACAUACUGAUUUUAGCAUAUUUGUAGCUGUGAAGUGUUGAAGUUUCUGUUUUGUUUAAAUGUUUGGGAUGCUACAACUUCCUCCCUAUUUCAACCAGUCCCUCAAUUGGGGUGUAUGUUCAUUGAUUUUCUAUGAUUCAUAAUACUGGUAGAGUGUCAAUGGCUCGAAAAGGGAAAUAGUUUUUUCUCGAAAAUCAAAGCUAGAGAAACGAGACGCAUCCUUGCUAUGAUAAGUUUCCACCCGUGAAAGUUUUUUUUUUUUAAUCAUUUGAUACUUAUGAAUGAGUAUUGAUUCUUUUCCAUUUCUGUGUUUUGUUUGAAGAAUCAAGUAUAGAAGAGAUUUGUUUAUCUUAUCCUGAGGUGAUAAACCGUUGUGUUCAAGGGUCUUUGCUACUCUAUUAGUUUAGGCUCUAAUUUGGUCGUAAGUUUCCUUUGUUUUCUGUACGAAAUUCCCCGAUUACAUGAGAAAUAUGGAAGUUAUUUGAGUCAUUUAAAUCGACUAUUCUUUGGCCUAUACAACCGAAUAAAGUUUUCUUUGAUGAAUUCUAUUUAAUGUUCAAUUCAUUAUCUUCUAGUGGUUGUCAGUGGAUAUAUGAAGGCCAAGGACCGAGCUUUAUCUUAAAGAUUGUUAUUUUGUCAUUAGAAUCGAUCCAUGUGUGGUUGACUUAGAUUCGACAUCAUCCCCUCUCUUGUUAAGAUUUAAAGCAUAUUUGCACUUAGGCAUGAAGCUUUUCUUUUUUGAAAUGAUUGGAAACCUGUCUUCCUUUGGUCUGUGGUCUGUGAUAACAUAAGGAUAUUAUAUAGUCUUGGUAUUACCAUAUUUUCUAGCAAAAUGUCAACUUGCAGUUUCCCAUUUUUGCCUAUAUUGUUGAAGUCACUGUUAUGUCCUUGAAUAUGCUUAAAAGACUCAAUUUGUUGUUCUCUUUGAGAUGAACAUCUUGUUUGCAAUCUUUCCCUUUUUCUUUUCCAAAAGACACCCUGGUUAGUGAGAAGUAAUUUCUUUAGAUGCAACUUUUUGAUUAUCAAGUUAUUUAAUUCUUCUGUUACGUUUAUGCCUGAGUUGUCACUGUCUCCCUUUCUUAGUCUAUUUUUAAAUAUUAUUUUAAGAUGGACUGGAUCACUACCUACUUGCUUUGAUAGAUCUGCUUGUAGCACCUCAACAUAAAAUUGUUUGUUUUAAACUAUGAAGAUUUUUUCUUUGUUUUGUCAUUUCUAUCAUUUUAAAUUUCCUUAAUCGUUAUGUGUGUUAGUUCCUUAUUCGCAACAUUCUAAAUUUCCUUUUUAUAAUUAUUAUCAUUAUUAUUAUUAUUAUUAUUAUUAUUAUUAUUAUUAUUAUUAUUAUUAUUUAGAGGAACUGCUUUUAUAAAAGUGAUUAAGAACUUUUCAGAGAAGAAGUGUAGAAAGAACCUCAUUGUAUCUGUAAACAUUAAUCACUUAAGUCAAUAUCAAGCCAAUAAAUUUCAUUUUCAAGGAAUUCGUUGUGGUUAAGGAAUAAAUCUUCUUCUAUUAGGCUACGAAUUAGAUUUUCUAACAUAAAAAAAUGAAUAUCUUCGUUUAAAAGAAUGCAUUUGAUAAUCGUAAUUAUAAUUUUCUCAGGGAGGAAGUAUGUGUAAAAGUUCGUGUUAGAUUUUCGCGAGAUAGAAAAUCAGGCAAAGAAUUUUCACUACCCUUCUUAUAUUGUAUUUCAUAAUCAAAAGGGGCUAAUUGAGCUUGCCAUCUUGCAAAUAUCAAUUUAAAGGCAUCAUGUUUAAAGUCUUUGUUAAACAUAAAUUUAACGGAUUGAGCAUCAGUUCUAAUUAUAAAUCUUUGAUUAUACAAAUCAUCUUGAAAUUUUAAAAUACAUUUUACAAUAGUUAACAUUUCAUGGGUUACUGUGACGUAUUUUUUCUGACUUUCAGUCCAUUUACCAAAAUAAAAUCGAAUCAAAAAUUCUAUUUUUGUAUGGGGAUUAACUUGUUUAAGUAUUCCGUCAUACCCAAUAUUAGAAGCAUCAGUUUCAAUGAUUUUUAACCAGUUAGGAUUUGCAAGGGGUACAAGGAAGAGUUUGAACUCGGUUUUUAAUUAAUUUUACUAAAUUAAUGUGGACUUGAGUUCAAGGAGUUUUGUGAUCCUUUUUUAGUCUAUCAUAUAAAGGAGCUAAAUUUCUAGACAGAUUUCAUAAAAAGGGGAAAUAUAGUUAAGACUAUCGAGGAAUCUUUGAAGUUGUUUUUUAUCAGUAAUAAUAUCAGGGAAUUUUUUAGCAAAUUCUAGAACUCGUUGUAUAGGCUCAAUAGAACCUUGAGAAAUAUUAUGUCUUAAAAAUCUAAUACUUGUCUGGAAUAAACUUAUCUUUGGUUUGGAGAUGACUAAGCCAUUUUGAAUAAUUAUUUGUUUAAACGUAUGCAAAUGUUUAAAAUGAGAUUCAAGGGUUUUUGAGAAUACUAAAAUAUCAUCAAUAUAAACAAUGAUAAAGUCCAUAUAGGGAUUAAAAAUGUCAUUCAUAAUUUUUUGAAAUUCAGAAGGAGCAUUCUUUAAACCGAAUGACAUAAUAUUCCAUUCAUACUGUCCAAAAGGGACAUUAAAAGCAGUUCUAUAAGUAUUUUCUUUAUCAAUUUGAAUUUGCCAAUACCCAGAUUUCAAAUCAAAUUUAGAGAAUAUAUUAGUAUCAUAUAAUCUGGAAAGAAAGUCUUUUUUAUUCGGUAUAGGAUAUCGAAUUCAUUUUAAAACUUUAUUCAGAGGUUUAUAGUUUAUAACUAAUCGAGGUAUUCCUCGUUCUUUUUCAGCAGCAUUAUUGACAUAAAAAGCAGUACAAGAUCAAGGGGAUUUUGAGGGUUUUAUAAGAUUUUUUUGCAGAAGACUGUCAAUUUCUGUCUUACAGAAUUCUACUAACUCUGUAUUCAUUUGACAGGGUCGAGAUUUUGUUGGAAUUUGUUCUUCACUGAAGUCAUUUUCAUAAGGAAGAGAAACAAUAUGUUUCUUUCGGUUUCAGAAAGCAUUUGGAUGAUCCGCACAAAUAUCAAGAAUCAAUUGAUUAGAAAUAUUUUUAUUUUUUCUUGGACUUUCACUGAUUUUAAAGUAUAAAAAAUAGAAAUACUCAUUAGUUCUAAUUGUAAGAAAUUAAUUUUCUUUUGUUUCAUACUGAUAAGGGCAUUUAUAUCCCUUGUUACAGGAUUAGUAACAAAAGGAUAAGAGAUUUAUUUAUUCUUAUAAGUAGUCUUAAAAUCAUUUACAUUAAUAUGUGUAUAAGGAUAAAUAGCAUUUAUAAAAGGUGUUCCUAGGAUAAUAGGAGGAUAUAACUGAUUUUUUACUAAAAAAAAGAAAUGUGGAUUGCAGACUUUAUCUCGACAUAUAUGAGUAUUUGGUAACUUAUAGUUGAUAUCAAGAGUAUGACCAGAUGCAGACUUGACUAUGUGAGUAGUUUCUUCAAAAUAUCUGGUUGGAAUUAGUCCUUCUUGAAUACAACUAACAUCAGCAUCACUAUUAAUCAUAGCAUGAAGAUAGAAAAUUUCUUAUUUAUCAAAAUAGUGCAAUUUAUAUACAUGAGCAGUAACUAUUUGCAUUAUCCCCAAGAAAUAAUCCCUUUUUAAAUCUUCUGUUGGACUAAGUUUAUCAAUUUCAGAAUUUUCAGAGUAUUUCAAAUCCUUUUCUUUUCCUUUUUGAAGUAAUAGAAGUUUCAGGGAUGUCAAUAAUCUUUUCUUCAAUUUUUAAAAUUCUAUGAUCGGAGAUUAUCUGAUUUUGUUUUAAGGAGACAAUUUUUUUUUUUAAUUGUUCAACUUCGAUUUUUGAAUCAUUAAAGGUAGUAUUUCUACCUGGAGUUUGAAUCAACGCAAAAUGUCGAUUAACUUCGGCUAAGGAAUAUGACAUGUGAUAAUUAUCAUAAUAGUUAUCUUUAGAAAUACUAGUAUUAGCAGAAGUUUUUUGAGUAGCAAAAUUAAUGAUUUUUUUACAAAGUUUUUUAUCAGUAACUUCUUUCAGUAAUUCAAGGACAUUAUUAGCAGUAAGAGUUUGAACAUUUAAAUCAAGAUCUUCGAAUUGCGCUUGAAGUUUAUACAUCAUUUCAUCACAAUUACAAAUAUCAUUAUCACAAUCAUUACAUUUAUCAACCUGAUUGAGUUCACUAUCAGAAUUUGGUAAUUCAAAAUCAUUUUCAGAUGUAGAAUCAGAUUCGGAAUCAN